UUUUAGGGAGACCUAAACCCCUCUAUACCGAAGAAAGUAAAUAGGUAAGAGAAAGGGUCAGACCUAGGUCGGUCGAGGAUUAGAAGCAGGCUUUCAAACUCAAGUUCGGUUCGGAGGUAUGGGCUAUUAGCUCAGGUGGUUAGAGCGCACCCCUGAUAAGGGUGAGGUCCCUGGUUCGAGUCCAGGAUGGCCCACCUAAACCCAAAAAACCCGGUAAAAGGGAAUUAAGUGGGGGUAUAGCUCAGUUGGUAGAGCGCUGCCUUUGCAAGGCAGAUGUCAGCGGUUCGAGUCCGCUUACCUCCAGUGGAGGAAAAACCAAGAGUCAGCAACUCAUAAAUAAUGAGACUGCUGGCUAACUUGCCAGCCAGAACCUUGAAAAGUACAUAGCAAUUAAGUCUAAAAAGUCUAGGGAAAAAGAUCAAACAGACAUCAAUC
rnacentral:tRNA from 1 species